CGGGAGGAGGGGCGCGGGCCGAGACGCAGAAAUACAAAAAUAUAUAUUUUUAUAUAUCUGUACAGAGAGAGAAGGAAGGGCGCGAAUGUGGGGGAGAACGUCUGCGAGUCCGGCCUGUGAGCGGACAGCACGGUGUCAGCACGCCGUGGCACUGAGUGACGCGUCCAGUCGUGGCUGGAGCGCCUCCGGGGCAGUGACUCUGCAGUCUGCCCAGUCACGCUUUCUUUGGAGAAAUUUUUUCCUAAUAUCCGGCUAAACCUCCCCUGGCCCAGCCUGAGGCCGUUCCCUCUGCUCCUGUCCCUGUUCCUGGGAGCACAGCCUGACGCCCCCGCUGUCCCCUCCUGGCAGGAGCUGUGCAGAGCCACAAGGGCCCCCCUGAGCCUCCUUUGCUCCAGGCUCAGCCCCUUCCCAGCUCCCUCAGCCUCUCCCGGGGCUCCAUUCCCUUCCCAGCUCCCUCAGCCUCUCCUGGGGCUCCAUUCCCUUCCCAGCUCCCUCAGCCUCUCCUGGGGCUCCAGCCCCUUCCCAGCUCCCUCAGCCUCUCCCGGGGCUCCAUUCCCUUCCCAGCUCCCUCAGCCUCUCCUGGGGCUCCAGCCCCUUCCCAGCUCCCUCAGCCUCUCCUGGGGCUUCAUUCCCUUCCCAGCUCCCUCAGCCUCUCCUGGGGCUCCAGCCCCUUCCCAGCUCCCUCAGCCUCUCCUGGGGCUCCAUUCCCUUCCCAGCUCCCUCAGCCUCUCCUGGGGCUCCGUUCCCUUCCCAGCUCCCUCAGCCUCUCCUGGGGCUCCAUUCCCUUCCCAGCUCCCUCAGCCUCUCCUGGGAGCUGCAGCCCCUUCCCAGCUCCGUUCCCUUCCCUGGCCACGCUCCAGCCCCUCAAUGUCCUCCUUGGAAUGAGUGGCGCAGGAUACAACACUUGCUCCUUCAGAUGCUGGAAUCUUCUCCAGGGGUUGAACAGCCCCAACUUUCUCCACCUGACUUCGCAGGGAAGGUGCUCCUGAUGAACUUGGCCUCAUCUGGACUUGCUCCAGCAGUUCCAUGUCCUGCUGGCAUUGAGGACCCCAGAGCUGGGUGCAGCACUGCAGGAUGGCAAAAGACAGCUGACUAUCUGUGUCUGAUCCCACACUAGUCUUCAUGGAAAGUGCCUUGUGCCAGUUUCUUUCUGAGGAAACACUUUUUUUAGGUGCAAACAGAACAAGAAAAAAUAUUCAAUUUUUUUAACCACGGAUUGUUCAAGAUGUAUGGAGACAUUGGACAAGUAAUUUUUGCCUGUUCCCAGUUUAUCCAUUGUAAAUUCAGUUACUGGUGUUGGGAAAACAGCAACAUCUGGAUCAACAACUUUUUAUGUCCCUCAGUGGUAUGGAUUUUGUGAUGAAGAGUGGAAGCACGACGAAGCUGCAGGUGUGCUGCUGAAUGGGGAUGGAAAGUUAAUUAAAAAUGCCCACAGAAAGGAUAGAAGUACUCAGUGCCUUCUUCACUUCCGUCAUCAUGGGUGAGAUCAGCCCCCAGGUCUCCAUGCUAGAAGCAAUGACAAAAAUUGUAUCAGAGAGUUCAUUUAAGGACCAUCUCCACAAACUGGACAUCUACAGAUACCUUCCCCAGUUUCGGGGGGAAAAAAAUCACCAUGAGAGUAAUUAGCCAUGGGAGCCAGGAAAGUGGUGGACUUUUCUUGAUGAAAGUAUUCAAGAAACAGCUUGACAGAGAAUGGAGAACGUCAUCUGAGGCAUUUCUUUCCAUGUAAAUUUGAAGUCCUGUUGAAAUCUGGACCUUUAUGUUGUUUUUAUGAUCACCUCUGGUUUCUGCAGAAGAAUUACAAUGAAUGAAAGAAAUAAGUUGUCUGAUUACAAACCCCUUGUACAUUUCUAGUGGUGACUUUAACAAACAUUUGUACACAGCUCAUCCCUUAAACUUUAUUUCUCUUUUUCUUGCAUGUCUGACAGUCCUGUCCCCCUGCACUAAAGAUCACAGAAGCAGCUGCAGAGAGAGAGGUUUCAUUCCCCAAAACACUGAAUUUUUUAUUCUGAAUUAUUUGCUCAUAAUGUUUGAGCUUUGGCUUCUGUCAUUAGCUCUUAACUUCUGUUUAAGGGUCAGUGGAAAAGCACUUUUCCUUAAUUACAAAAUUUUGUUGUAAUUUCUGGUAUUUGCGGCUACUCACCAGGUUAUGCCUUACAGAGCAAGAUGUGAUAACUUUUCACAGCUCCCACUAGAAUAAUUUCCACUUUGUUGCUCUGUUGCUUUGGUGCACCCUGCUCUGCUUUUUGGAAAGCUUUUGUGCUACCACACAGAAAGAAGGAGGCACAAUUUUGUGCCUCCAUUCCAGGAAAAUUCUGUUCUCAAAACUAUCCCUGAAAGAUUUUGGCAGAUCUGAUUUGUGAGGUCUUAGUGAGGAACAUCUGAAUUUCCACCCUGCACCAGAACAAUAUCCAGCUGACUACUAUGUUUUUCCAGGAGUGAAUAAUGUGUACUCCCCUAAGGUGUCCUGGAGCCUUUUAGGGCCUCACCAGUCAGCAGUGGUGUGAUUACCUCCCGAAGAGGAAGAGGCUGUGCUGUCACAAACCUGCAAAUACUCACCAAAUAUUGCCUUUUGAGUUCCAACGGAGUGAGUCAACAUUGCUGCGACUUCAGGCUCUGUCUCUUGGACACUCCACAGCCUUGGUAUUUGGGAUUUCACAGGCCAGCCUCCCAGCCCUGCUGCUGGCAUCCAGAGUGCUCUGGCUAAUUCCUUCCCCAAGCUGCAAGUCCAAGAGCUCUCUGAGCUUGCCACAUGGUUUUCCCAGGACACGUAUGAUUGCCAGCAAGCCUAAUUACUUUUUGGCUGAUGCAAGACAUUCAGAGGGGAGAAAAAUAUCAUCAAAAACCAAAAAAGAAAGGGCACACUGUAGUCAUUAGCCUGCCUCUGUGCCCCUGCAGCCAUGCAACCUUAAGGUUUGGAUUAGAUGCUUUUAAAGAGCCCACUCUUCUUUGUCUCCCUUUUUCCUCCUGAAAGUGGUCUUUUCCUCUCCUUCCAGCAGAUGUUUUUCUGCUCUCAGUCUUUCCUCAUUUUUUGGCAUGACUGAAGAGAGAACACUUCCUGGGUUGUCAUUAGUCUCCUUGUCAAGAGCCUCACAGAUCAGGCCUGUCAGAUGUGCAAAAUCUAUCACCACCUCAUCCACAGUUUACUUGUUACCCUGCCGAGUUUCAGAUUGGAAUAAUUAGUUUGCCUUGAGCCAUUGCCAAUUAUUUUGCUGCCGUAUGAUUAAAUGGACUGUAACUGAAUAGCUGGUGACCAAGAUUUAAUGACUCUCCACUGUUAUAUCUAGCCAAGUUAAAGGUUUUGUUUUUUUUUUCCUUUCUGUCACCUCCCAGAGGACUUCAGCUGAAUCUGAAGGCAAAAGGUCACAGGCAUGCACAACAAUGAGAACAGAAUUUGCAAUGUAGAAUAGAAUAACAUAGAGGGUCCCUAGUAUCAGAGUUUAUAAGCAGGGUGGUUAACAGGUUGUUUUGCAUACACACAGAGACAGACACAAAUAAGAAAAGUGCAAAAUGGACUUAAUUAUAAGAGCUAUAUAUUUUUCCUGAUUAAGAAAACUCUAUUCUUUAGUAUGCAACCCAGCUGGAUCAAAGCAUACUUUUAAAUAGAAAGUUAUAUGCUCAAGAAAAUGGAUUCUUCAUCUAUGACUAAGAUUCUUGCAAUAAAUUAGUGUUUGUUUCCUCAAAUUGAUUUCCUGGAACUUAGACAUUUGUUCUCUAGUUGUAAAUUGCCACCUCACUAGAAAAAAAAAAGCAUGGUCUGUUUUUAAUGUGUCUAUGCCAAGUUUUGAUUACUAUUAUGUAACUCAGCUGUUGAAACUGUACAUGUAUUAAAAUGAAAGAAUUUUGUUUGAGUCUUGGACUGAAACAUUGUGGGCAAUUAAUCUACAGUCUGGACCAGCACAUUUGAGCACAUCAGCAAAAAGAUGUUGAUAGUUCUGUGUCUUGCUCAGAAAAGAAAUCACAAUGUCCCUGUAGUACAAUCUGUUAAGCAAAGCUUUCAGCAAAUGUGGGUUUGUGGGUGAUCAGCAAAAGCACUGAUGUGAUUUUUGUAGUUGGAUAUAGAUGUGUAGAUCUGAUCUAUUAAUUCGAUCACGUACAUGCAAAGCAGUGCCUCCUACAUCCCUUGGUAUUGCAAACAGCCAAGCAAUGAUUCAUCAGACCAAGGUCCUCUUGAUGAGAAAACUGAGUCAUUGAAACCCUUCUGUGUUCAGAUCAAUGAAGAAAAAGAUACUGCCAUUCAUACACAUUCUUCUGCAACUGCAAUAUGCAGGUAGUGCCCCAAACACAACAGGCUUUUCCUUGUCCUGGAAUGUUCCUGCUGCUCAGCACCACCACCACAGACAGGGAGCUGGCAGCUGUGCAUCCACAGGAGACCUUUGGCUGCCUUUCACCCUGAACCCCUCUUCUUCAGCUCCUCUUUC